UUUUAUUUCUUACUUGGCAACUGUAGUUUAUAUUUGCUAUGUUGUAUUGUAGGCUAUUUCUGUGGCUGAAAGAGUUGCUGAUGAGUGUUGUGAACCUUCACCAGUCUUGCACAAUCCUCAGAUAGAGGUUCGGGGAGCCCAAAAGUGACUGAGUGGCAGCUUGUUUGAAGUUUACAUUCUUCUUUCCAUGGGCAAACACUGGGAUUGCUAAAGGGUGAGUAAGAUCUACUUCUUAAUUCCCUUAAAUUGUAAAAUAAUGUGGUGGGUUGUUGUUUAGGAGCAAGCAGGUGGCUUGCAUGGAGAGAAAAGGUGGAAUAUAUUGGGAGUGUUGUUUGUUUUGUGAAUGUUAACAUAUUGUUGUCAAUUUCUUGUAUUUUGUCUAAGUAAAUACAUAUAGUAUGCUGUGGUGGGUGGUUGUUGGAGAGAAAAGGUGGAGUAUUUUCUAUUAGGAGUAUUGUUUGUUUUGUGACUUAUAUUUUUGAAACUCAAUGUGCAAUGGUGAAAUUGUAGUGUAGGUGCGCCUCAUAACA